rnacentral:rRNA from 1 species
GGGAGGUAGUGACAAUAAAUAACAAUACGGGGUCCUUUGGGUCUCGUAAUUGGAAUGAGUACAAUUUAAAUCUCUUAACGAGGAACAAUUGGAGGGCAAGUCUGGUGCCAGCAGCCGCGGUAAUUCCAGCUCCAAUAGCGUAUAUUAAAGUUGUUGCAGUUAAAAAGCUCGUAGUUGAAUUUCGGGGUCAGUAGGUCGGUCGUGCCAACGGUAUGAACUGGCCUCACUGAUUCCUCCCUCUUGUAGAACCGUGAUGCCAUUAACUUGGUGUUGCGGGGAAACAGGACUGUUACUUUGAAAAAAUUAGAGUGUUUAAAGCAGGCUAACGCUUGAAUACAUUAGCAUGGAAUAAUGAAAUAGGACGUCGAUCUUAUUUUGUUGGUUUCUAGGGUUGACGUAAUGAUUAAUAGGGAUAGUUGGG